rnacentral:rRNA from 1 species
UACGGAGGGGGCAAGCGUUAUUCGGAAUUAUUGGGCGUAAAGGGCGCGUAGGCGGCUAGAUGUGUCAAAGGUGAAAUCCCUCGGCUCAACUGAGGAACUGCCUUUGAAACUGUCUGGCUUGAGGCCGGGAGAGGGUAGCGGAAUUCCCGGUGUAGAGGUGAAAUUCGUAGAUAUCGGGAGGAACACCAGUGGCGAAGGCGGCGAUCUGGGAAGAUACUGACGCUGAGGAGCGAAAGCGUGGGGAGCGAACAGG